rnacentral:rRNA from 1 species
UUGGAGGGCAAGUCUGGUGCCAGCAGCCGCGGUAAUUCCAGCUCCAAUAGCGUAUAUUAAAGUUGUUGCAGUUAAAAAGCUCGUAGUUGAAUUUCGGGAUCAGAGUGUCGGUCGUGCCUCGGUACGCACUGGUAUUAUUGGUUCCUACCUUCUGAAGAACCGCGAUGUCAUUAAUUUGGUGUCGUGGGGAAUCAGGACUGUUACUUUGAAAAAAUUAGAGUGUUUAAAGCAGGCUUACGCUUGAAUACAUUAGCAUGGAAUAAUGAAAUAGGACGUUUGAUUCUAUUUUGUUGGUUUCUAGGAUUGUCGUAAUGAUUAAUAGGGAUAGUUGGGGGCAUUAGUAUUCAAUUGUCAGAGGUGAAAUUCUUGGAUUUAUUGAAGACUAACUACUGCGAAAGCAUUUGCCAAGGAUGUUUUCAUUAAUCAAGAACGAAAGUUAGGGGAUCGAAGACGAUCAGAUACCGUCGUAGUCUUAACCAUAAACUAUGCCGACUAGGGAUCGGAUGAUGUUAAUUUUUUAAUGACUCAUUCGGCGCCUUACGGGAAACCAAAGUGUUUGGGUUC